UUUUUUUAUGUUGUGUAAAAUCUUUUUUUCAUGAAAAUUAUUUCUUCGUCGGAGUGUUUUUUUAAUUGGGUGUAAAAUUUUGUUCAAAAUUGUAAUUACAUUUAUCUGUUACUUGUCCAUUAGAUUACCGUGUUGAACUAAACAGCGAUGAUAUUAUUUCUGGUGAAUGUUUAACUGGUAGGAAAUGGCAGAUGAUGGUCAAGGGGCUGUGACCAAACCAAUAGAGACAGUAACAAGCCCGGGCACUUUUGUGGGAACAAGUGGAACUUCAUAAUUUAAACUGUGGAUUAUUACCAAAACAUUUGAAAUACAUUAUCGAUUUUAAAUUUUAAUCCAAUGACAAUGACAUCGAAGCCUGUAAAUAAAGUCUCUGUGGCCAGUAAAGCAGAUUUGCUUCGUGUUUUAUGUACCCUGGAAGGUGAGCUUCAAGCAAAAGAAAUUGUGAUCAGUAUACUCAAGACGGAACAAGUCCGUAGACUUUUACAUCCUUGCUACAAUAAACGAAGAUGGGUUCAACCUAAUUCAAAAUUGUCAACCAACACCAUAAUCCCAAAUAAUCGAGCUCUCAAAUGCAAACAAGAUUCAUCGCAACAGCAACAGCUACAACAGCAGCAUCAACAACAACAACAAGUUCACAAUUCCGUUCAGUUAAAUAUUGAUCCAUCUGAUCCUUUUGUAGCUCUAUUAAGAGAUACUUACUGUGCAUAUGAUCCUUCAUUUGAUGAAAACUCAACCAAAUUAAUUUAUAAUCUUCAAUAUCAAAAUUUAAGGACCCUUAUAGACCAUCAAAGGAGAGUGAGAAAAUUUUUAGAAUCUCAGAUUGCUGAUUGGGAAUCCAAGUAUAAAGCCUGUUGGCAGGAAUUAGAAAAUGAAAGAUUGAAAAGUGAAAAAUAUGAAAGAGAUAAAAUGAUUAACCGGAUCGAGCAACUCGAAAGGGAAAAUGAUGCUCUCAAGCAAGAUGUGAAAAAUGUUCAAAGUGAAUUAGAUAAGGAAAAAGAACGUGAAAAGUCAAUGGUAAUGUGUUUAAUCACUGAGCGUAAAGAAUUGAUUUGCUGUUUAAUUGAACACGAACAACGUAAUGCUGCUCUAAUCGACAUGUUGACCGCUGAACAAUGUAGAGCCGCUGAAAUGAGUGAGGAUUUGGAAGAGGAAUCUAAAAGAUCACUCCAAAUGGAAUCUGAAUUGGAAAGGUUAUCAGCAAGCUUCGAGAAAUCAAAAUCCAUGUUAAUGGAUAAAAUAAAUACAUUAGAAAAUAAGAGUACCAAAUUGGAAGAGGAAAAUGAUAAAUUAAAAAAGGAAUUGGAAGCAAUCAAAUCAAAAAGGAUAGCCCAAUUAGGAGAAGGUGUACGAGCAACAAUUGUUACUGUCAACUCAACGGACCACAAGGUAGUGCCAAGCGUUGCAUCUUCUCCAGCAGCUCUGAAUCAAUCAAAGGUGAACAUUGCCCGACCAUUGAGUCCUAGUCGGGCAAUUACAUCUGUUUCGACUCCAAUCUCUGGUUCAACCAGUUCUGUCCUGGUAACAGGGUCAACUGUUAGCCCUAAAUCAACUGUUGCUGGUCAAGUUUCAACAGUAUCAUCAACAUCAACUUCAUCUUAUGCAGUUAUACAACCAAUUUUGAAAAGUGGAACGAAUAGUUCACCAGUGGUCGCUAAUCCGAUCACACCCACGCCACCCUCUGGUCCUCCACCUCCAUUACCUAAGACAACCUCAGUACUCUCACUAGCAACCACAACAGCAACAAACUCUACAGCUCAAACAGUUACAGCUUUCCAAAACAUGACUUACAACAUGGAAACAGUCACUCAACCUGUAAUCUCUAAAUCCUCAGCAGUCACUCAACAAUCUCCUAAUGCAACAGCGCAGCCUAACCGCACUGUUACUCCUGGUAAAGUUAUGAUUGCAAGUGGAAGUCCACAAGCACCGGUUCAAAAGAAGCUUUCAACUGGUCCAGUUGCGGGAACUGGAUCUGGUACUAGUCCGGUAUUUCGUGGAGCACCUCCUCCUAUACCGCCAAAUAAACCCAUUCUCCCUGCAAACGCACUGAAAGAACGAAGCAAAGAAAUACAACAAGCCACUGUUCGAGCUAAAAUGAUGACCGCCAAAUCAAUAACUCCCCUUCCCUCCUCCACACCUGUACCUGUUCAAGGUGAGCCCGUCGUAAAUGACAAGCCUUCCUCUUCUGCUCUGACUAACUCGGUGGUGGUUAAUGGUACAAUCAAAAGACAAGAUAAAUCCUUAAUGCUUUCAAACUCUUCCAAUUCAACUGAACAAGUGCCUGGAGAAAAUAAUUUGAAUAAUGUUUCAUUGAAAAAUGCUAGCAAUGGGUGCAACGAUACUACUUCUGACACUUCAGAUGAUUCAGUUAAUCAUCAAAAUGAAGAGUUUACUAAUGUUGAAAUGAUUAGUCAAGAGAUCGCUGAUUUUCAGCAGCUUUUAGGCUCGAUGGUUGAAAAGAGUAUUAUUGGUUGAUUUGCUCAGUUUUAGGGAUAACAGAAAUAGAUUCUAUCAUUAAUUUUGAUCAUUUCUAUAAAUAUUUCUGUGCUAAAUCUUGCACGAUAAAGCUGCUAUGAAAUAGUAAACCUAACUUUAAAUACUCUCAAGCUUUUAAAUAAUCUAUCUUAAUUUUUUUAACUUAAUUUCGAGGUUUGUUAAAGUUAGAACACCUUUAAUCACUCAAAAAAAAACAGCAAUGAAUACAUUAAUUCACACUUACAGCAUUUUGGGAACUUGUCUAAAGUCAUCGAGAAAUGCUGUAUACCUUUUCAAACAAUCUUAUUUGCUUCAAUUUUUGCAUCUUGUUUCGUUAAUUUUAAAAUCAUGAUUUUUUGCCUUCUCUUGAUUAAUUUCAACAUUUUCCUGUAAACAUAAUUUUUUGACCCAAUCUUGAAAUUUUUAUCAUUUGAAACCCUUUUUGUCUCAUUUUGAAUGUAAUUGUACAAACAUUUACAGAUUUAUCAUUAGGAUGUAAAAUUAUAAUUAUAAUUUUUUCCCAUAUUAUUGUUUAAUUUGAUCAUUUAUUUACUUAUCUCAAUCUCGUUUACUUUAAUUGUUAUAAUUUAAUCCUUUCCUUUUCCGCUCCUGGUGAUGGUUUAAUUUGCUUUUCCUCAUUUAUUUCUGGUUUGCUGUUUUUGUUUUAAAACAUAAUCUCUAUUUAAUGUUCUCGGACUCCGCAAGCACCUUAGGAAUAAUUUAUUUACCAAUGAAUCAUCUGUAUCAUCCUCAUCUCCAUCAUCAUCACCAUGCACACCAUUCUUAUCACCUUUAACUGAAUUUAACUGUCUUUAUUUACCAUCUUUAAUUGUUUUACCUGCAAGCUAAAUCACUUCUCCUAUUUGUUAGAUUAGCUUUUGCCUAUUUUUCGGCAUCCAAAGCAAACCAAAUACAAAACCAUCCUACUAAUCAAUUUAAUCAAUUAUUGAUUGAUAAAAUUGGUUUCUAGCUUGUUGAUAAAUCUGUAUUUGACCUGAAUGGUUUCACAUAAAUUAUUUGUAUUUUACCGUUGACCAUUAACCAAAAAGAAAGCGAGAAAACGAAAGAGUAAAGAAUGCAAUGGAACAGGAUUAACCUCAAUAUGGCUGAUUAUUUAGAGUCUACCUAAACAAUUCCGUCAUCAUCGAACCAUAAUCAUCACCUGUUGCCAUUAACAGGAAUAGAACAAGAAACAUUCAAUUGUAUUAGUUGAAAGGUUAAUUAAAAGUCCUGACAAAAAUUG